AUAAAUAGGGUUAGAUAUAGAAUAUAUAAAGAAGCUCUAUAUAAAUAACUAAAUAGGAGAUUAAUGAAAUCAUAAAAGAUGCUACUCGAAGCUUCUAAAUCUAGCCAGAUCAGCAUCUAACAAAUUCUCUUCCAUAUGCCACGUGAGAAAGGCAAAAUUUGAUCCCACACAAUCUUCAUUUUCAUGUUUGUCGUAAUAAUGUCGACUCCUCUUCCUCUUAUUCGUUGUAAUCGUUUAAUACUGCAUAAUCAAUUAAUCAUAUCAUUUAUUUGCUUCAUCUCUCCUCCAAAGGCCAAUCUAACUCUCUAUUUCAACGCUACUUCUCCAACCAGACUCUCUUCAAUGUACAGUCCUAUCCGAUGAACCACGGCUAGGUUUUUGUCUCCAACUUGACAAUCGAACCCAUUUUUUAGAUUGUUAAUAUACAAGAAAGAGGAAGGCUGAAGCUAGAGGGAUCCGGGAGAAAUCAUAAAAUUUGGUAUAGGUUCUAUGUUGUCGCUCUAUGUUACAAGUUCAAUGAGCGAUUGGCCUGCGUUUUUCAAUAAAAAAGAAUCAUACUAUAUUGUUUGAGAAAGUUGUCAUGGCCCUGAGUUAAGAAUCGAGGAUACUCCCAGUCUCUCAAGUACUUAAAAUACAUUUUAGAAACUGGAGAAAGUAAAUUCUAUUGCUGUAGUAAGUCAUGGUGUAAUGGAGUAUGUGUCAGAAAGGCUCAGAGCUCAUGUCAUCGUUAAAAAAAAAAAACUAUGCAAAUUCCAUAGUAAUCUCUUGACGUUUUUUCCAUCAUAAUUGAUUGAUAUGACUUUCUUUUGGUAUCCAGAAAGAAAUGAAGUGAUUAUUAAUGAUUGUCUAAGUACAAGGGUCAAAAGAAUUCAUGACGUGCUACACAAGUCACAAGCUAAUAACCUCUUUCUAUAUCACUCUAAAUUAUAAUCAUGGUAAA